rnacentral:rRNA from 1 species
GUGGGGAAUAUUGCGCAAUGGGGGGAACCCUGACGCAGCAACGCCGCGUGCGGGAUGAAGGCCUUCGGGUUGUAAACCGCUUUCAGCAGGGAAGAGACAGACGGUACCUGCAGAAGAAGCCCCGGCUAACUACGUGCCAGCAGCCGCGGUAAUACGUAGGGGGCGAGCGUUAUCCGGAUUCAUUGGGCGUAAAGCGCGCGCAGGCGGACCGUUAAGCGGGACCUCUAAUCCUGGGGCUCAACCUCAGGCCGGGUCCCGAACUGGCGGUCUCGAGUGCGGUAGGGGAGGUCGGAAUUCCCGGUGUAGCGGUGGAAUGCGCAGAUAUCGGGAAGAACACCGAUGGCGAAGGCAGACCUCUGGGCCGACACUGACGCUGAGGCGCGAAAGCGUGGGGAGCAAACAGGA